rnacentral:rRNA from 1 species
ACGAACGCUGGCGGCGUGCUUAACCCAUGCCAGUCGAACGGAAAGGCCCCUUUGGGGGUACUCGAGUGGCGAACGGGUGAGUAACACGUGAGUAACCUGCCCUUGACUUCGGGAUAACUUCAGGAAACUGGGGCUAAUACCGGAUAGGAAUCCUUGCUGCAUGGUGGGGGUUGGAAAGCUUCGGCGGUUUUGGAUGGACUCGCGGCUUAUCAGCUUGUUGGUGGGGUAGUGGCUUACCAAGGCUUUGACGGGUAGCCGGCCUGAGAGGGCGACCGGCCACAUUGGGACUGAGAUACGGCCCAGACUCCUACGGGAGGCAGCAGUGGGGAAUAUUGCACAAUGGGCGGAAGCCUGAUGCAGCAACGCCGCGUGCGGGAUGACGGCCUUCGGGUUGUAAACCGCUUUCAGCAGGGGCGAAGCUUGUGGUGACGGUACCUGCAGAAGAAGCACCGGCUAACUACGUG